rnacentral:lncRNA from 1 species
CGGACUUCUUUAUCACUAUAACCCCCCGCUUGACAAAGUGCAUGGUGUACAGUUGAGUGUCAAAGAGACAGUUUUCUCGUUUGAAUUGUUUUACAUUGUCUUAUUGGGCCUUUUAUAGCUCACUAUGCGGUAUGGGCUUUGCUCAUUGUUGAAGGCCGUACGGUGACCUAUAGUUGUUAAUGUCUGUGUCAUUUUGGUCUUUUGUGGAUAGUUGUCUCAAUGGCAAUCAUCCCACAUCUUCUUUUUUAUAUAGCUCUACAUCUUAAAC